GUCUAAUCAUCAUAAAUCGCGCUCCUAGCGGUCGGCCCCAAAGCUAGACCCCCACCCCAACCACUUCUGGGAGGGGACACAAACCCCAGCCGGUGACAUAUUGUGUACACACAGACUUUGAAAUCUUUAUAAAGUUUUUAAAAAAUUGUAUGCAUUUAUACUUUGACCACUGGCUAUUUCAGUCCUACAUAUUCAGAAUGUUUAUUCUGUCUUUUUUUUUUACAUUUCACAUGUCCAGCGUCAGAGCCGUCACUACUGACGAGACAAAAAUGAAGAAACACUGUCCACCGUGUGUCCUGUUGCUGAUACCGCUAACAAUGGUUCCAUUUCUGCUGUAUCAUACAUCGGACCACCUCACUCCUGGUGACAUGUUGUCCUGGAGUAAACUGGGAACCCGCAGAAAUGCUACCAGCUCUCUCCUCGAGCUCGAAGAGGCAGACAGUGUCUACAGUGGAGUUACCGGUACUGCAAACUCAUCCAUGGAAAAGCUUGUGAAAACAAGGGCAUUACAGAAAUUUAGAUCUUACGCUAAGCACAUACCGAAGAAAAAGGUUGCCCAGAAGAAGUUCCUAUCCGACCAGGCAGCCGUACAGUCCAUACCGACGGAAGCACCUGGAUGGGUCUAUAACAAAACAGCUGCAGAUUUAUUCCGGAACACAAUCAUAAGCGACAGUCGCUUUGUGAACGGGAGCUUUCUUGUCACACAGGAAAACGUUGUGAAAAAAGUUCUGAAGGCCUACGGCAAGAAACACAAGGGAGUCAAAGUGCCAUCAGACGUCUUCAAUGGAUUUUUUUAAGAGAGUCCGUUCAAGAACAAACGCUUCAAUACUUGCAGUGUGGUAGGGAACGGAGGGAUACUAACGGGAAGCGGCUGUGGAAAGGAGAUAGACGCCUCUGAGUUUGUGUUCAGGUUCAACAUAGCUUCUAUGGACGAGGAAUAUUUGGAGGACAUUGGAAAGAAAACCAAUCUGGUCACUAUCAACCCCUCAAUGAUAAUCUAUAGAUACAACUUUGGAGGAUCAAGAAAGUUGAGGGUCAAUGUUAGAGCCUUGAUGUCUGACCUGGUCAGUAUAUGGAGACAGGCUACCUCUGGAUCUGGGCCUAUGAUAGUCCUGUUCGCGCCUUCAAAGUACAACAAGCUCUGCAAGCCAACAGCGCCCGGAACCAAGUUAUCCAGCCAUAUCCAAGUCUAAUAGGAUCGUUGAUAUCGUUUUGGAAAGACAAUGGUAUCAGUGCGAAGAAGCCGUCAACAGGACUGCUUCUGACGAGUUUUGCCACGCAGAUGUGCGAAGAGGUGCGCUUGUACGGCUUCUGGCCCUUCCACUCCGACAGGAACAACAGACACCUGACUGAGCAUUACUACGACAAUGCCCUCCCCACCAACGUUCACAGGAUACCUGAUGAGUUCAGGCAACUGCAGCGUCUCCACAACACCGGGGUUCUUCGUCUCACCACCCACACAUGUCAAUGAGCGGAGGAUGCUUAUGAUCAUGUACUGGAAGUAGAUAGUUGAAUUCUGUUCUAAUCUUCAAAAUACAUGUACAAGCUGCUUAGCACACACUUCAUUCUUAGCCUGGGUACCAUCCGGAAAGUAGUUCGCUCCGCCGUUUAUCAUACAUUGUAUACAGUCGCUUUGACAUUCAUUAUACACUAUAUACAUUCGCUUCUAGCUCUGACAUUUAUUAUACGUUAUAUAUUGUCGCUUCUCUACCGUUCCGUCUGGGAUCCUUGACAACGUCAAUUAUUAUGCUUAUUCAAUCUAGUACACUCUAAUAUAUUAUGACUGUCUGUAUGUAAAAGUGCUAAUAUCAAUUGUUUGCAUUUCUAUAAACUAGUUUAUUGAUUUUAAACUCAUCAUGACAAUCAGAAGGCUGAAUUGCAAGAUUCAUAAUGCAACUUAUCUAUUUAUUUGAUAUUCUCAAUAUACAACACUAAAUAGAAGACCGCAAUCAAAUAAAUAUACGUGU